UGGGGGAAUUUUGGACAAUGGGCGAAAGCCUGAUCCAGCCAUUCCGCGUGCAGGAUGAAGGCCCUCGGGUUGUAAACUGCUUUUGUACAGAACGAAAAGGUCUCUAUUAAUACUAGGGGCUCAUGACGGUACUGUAAGAAUAAGCACCGGCUAACUACGUGCCAGCAGCCGCGGUAAUACGUAGGGUGCAAGCGUUAAUCGGAAUUACUGGGCGUAAAGCGUGCGCAGGCGGUUAUAUAAGUCAGAUGUGAAAUCCCCGGGCUCAACCUGGGAACUGCAUUUGAGACUGUAUAGCUAGAGUACGGUAGAGGGGGAUGGAAUUCCGCGUGUAGCAGUGAAAUGCGUAGAUAUGCGGAGGAACACCGAUGGCGAAGGCAAUCCCCUGGACCUGUACUGACGCUCAUGCACGAAAGCGUGGGGAGCAAACAGGAUUAGAUACCCUGGUAGUCCACGCCCUAAACGAUGUCAACUGGUUGUUGGGUCUUAACUGACUCAGUAACGAAGCUAACGCGUGAAGUUGACCGCCUGGGGAGUACGGCCGCAAGGUUG
rnacentral:rRNA from 1 species